ensembl:lncRNA
CAAAAGCAGCCUGUGUACAACUCACGGCCAGUCCAAGGGGACCGAGGCACGGGCAGGAACAGGAUUUAAAGGUUACACAGAAAUCUGGAGGAAAAGAGGCACUGCAAUCACAUGGGUCAGCAAUCCAGCGUGACUUUCAUUUCUCUACCUCACAGACUGUAGCCUAUCAGACUCCUCUGGCCGUGGAAUUCUCCAGGCAGAUACAAAGAAACACAAGAAACAGAUACACAGGAGAAGGCGGCCGUGUGACGACUGAGACGGAGACUGGCAUGAGCCACCUACAAGCCAGGAGCUCCAAGGACGGAUGCAACCAGCUGCAGCCAGAGGGGGCAGAGAAGAGUUCUAUCCAGAACCUUCAGAGGGAGCGUGUCCCUGCUGACACUAACUUCAGCCUUCCAGACUCCAGAAUCCCAAGACUACACAAUUCUGUUGUUUGAAGCCACCCAGUUUGUGGUGAUUUGUCACGGCAGCCCCAGGAAACCCAUACACUGUUGAAACACGUCUUUCAGGGAUGUGAUUUAUCCCUAUUCCCAUAUUUGGACAAAGAAAUUAAAUCCUAUGGUAUGACCGA